rnacentral:rRNA from 1 species
UACGUAGGGGGCGAGCGUUGUUCGGAAUCACUGGGCGUAAAGGGAGCGUAGGCGGGGUCGUAAGUUAGGAGUUUAAUUCCCGGGCUUAACCCGGGGCUGGCUUUUAAUACUGCGACUCUUGAGUAGGGAAGAGGGAGAUGGAAUUUCAGGUGUAGCGGUGGAAUGCGUAGAUAUCUGAAAGAACACCGGUAGCGAAGGCGGUCUCCUGGUACCAUACUGACGCUGAGGCUCGAAAGUUAGGGGAG